GGAGGGUGCAAGCGUUGUUCGGAAUCACUGGGCGUAAAGGGCGCGUAGGCGGCUUCAAUAGUCCGAUGUGAAAGCCCGGGGCUCAACCCGGGAAGUGCAUCCGAAACUGCUCGACUAGAGUCCCGGAGAGGAAGGCAGAAUUCCCAAUGUAGGGGUGAAAUCCGUAGAUAUUGGGAGGAAUACCGGUGGCGAAAGCGGCCUUCUGGACGGUGACUGACACUCAGACGCGAAAGCGUGGGGAGCAAACAGGAUUAGAUACCCUGGUAGUCCACGCUGUAAACGUUGCGAACUAGGUGUCGGGGGUAUUCACCCCUCCGGUGCCGAAGCUAACGUCUUAAGUUCGCCGCCUGGGAAGUACGGCCGCAAGGCUA
rnacentral:rRNA from 1 species